GAUGAACGCUGGCGGCGUGCCUAAUACAUGCAAGUCGAGCGAACGGAUGAGAAGCUUGCUUCUCUGAUGUUAGCGGCGGACGGGUGAGUAACACGUGGAUAACCUACCUAUAAGACUGGGAUAACUUCGGGAAACCGGAGCUAAUACCGGAUGAUAUAUUGAACCGCAUGGUUCAAUAGUGAAAGACGGUCUUGCUGUCACUUAUAGAUGGAUCCGCGCUGCAUUAGCUAGUUGGUAAGGUAACGGCUUACCAAGGCAACGAUGCGUAGCCGACCUGAGAGGGUGAUCGGCCACACUGGAACUGAGACACGGUCCAGACUCCUACGGGAGGCAGCAGUAGGGAAUCUUCCGCAAUGGGCGAAAGCCUGACGGAGCAACGCCGCGUGAGUGAUGAAGGUCUUCGGAUCGUAAAACUCUGUUAUUAGGGAAGAACAUAUGUGUAAGUAACUAUGCACAUCUUGACGGUACCUAAUCAGAAAGCCACGGCUAACUACGUG
rnacentral:rRNA from 1 species